UACGGAGGAUGCAAGCGUUAUCCGGAUUUAUUGGGUUUAAAGGGUGCGCAGGUUGUUUGAUAAGUCAGUGGUGAAAGUCUGUCGCUUAACGGUAGGAUUGCCAUUGAUACUGUUAGGCUUGAAUAUGGAUGAGGUAGGCGGAAUGUGUAGUGUAGCGGUGAAAUGCAUAGAUAUUACACAGAACACCGAUUGCGAAGGCAGCUUACUAAUCCAUCAUUGACGCUGAGGCACGAGAGCGUGGGGAUCAAA
rnacentral:rRNA from 1 species